GGAAUUGGGUGUUUAGGGUGGGUGCAGAGUGAUGAGGUACCAGGAAGUAGAGUUAGAUCAGUAUUUAAGGUGUUGGGUACUUACUCGUGAUGGGUGCAGAGUGAUGAGCUACCAGGAAGUAGAGUUAGGUCAGUAUUUAAGGUGUUGGGUCAGUAUUUAAGGUGUUGGGUCAGUAUUUAAGGUGUUGGGUACUUACUCGUGAUGGGUGCAGAGUGAUGAGCUACCAGGAAGUAGAGUUAGGUCAGUAUUUAGGGUGUUGGGUCAGUAUUUAAGGUGU